CUUAGCCUGUCAUAGACACGUGUACCGGGAAGUAGGAAGUAAAUACAGCAGCAGACGAGGUGCCAGUGGAGAGAACUGUGGCGCAAUGCUUGAAGGCUACAGCCCCGUGACCCAGGCCCUGCUGGGGACUCUGUUCACCUGGGGUCUGACUGCUGCCGGAGCCGCCCUGGUGUUUGUCUUCUCCAGUCGCCAGAAGCGCAUCCUGGAUGGAAGUUUAGGCUUUGCAGCUGGGGU